rnacentral:rRNA from 1 species
CACGUAGGGUCCGAGCGUUGUCCGGAAUUACUGGGCGUAAAGCGCGCGCAGGCGGUCGGGUUCGUCGCUGGUGAAAGCCCCACGCUCAACGUGGGAAGGUCCGGCGAGACAGCCCGACUGGAGGCAGGGAGAGGUCGGUGGAAUUCCGGGUGUAGUGGUGAAAUGCGUAGAGAUCGGGAGGAACACCAGUGGCGAAGGCGGCUUUCUGGCCUGGUUCU